GUAGGUGGCAAGCGUUGUCCGGAAUUAUUGGGCGUAAAGCGCGCGUAGGCGGUUUUUAAGUCUGAUGUGAAAGCCCACGGGCUCAACCGUGGAGGGUCAUUGGAAACUGGAGAACUUGAGUACAGAAGAGGAAAGCGGAAUUCCACGUGUAGCGGUGAAAUGCGUAGAGAUGUGGAGGAACACCAGUGGCGAAGGCGGCUUUCUGGUCUGUAACUGACGCUGAGGCGCGAAAGCGUGGGGAGCAAACAGGAUUAGAUACCCUGGUAGUCCACGCCGUAAACGAUGAGUGCUAAGUGUUAGGGGGUUUCCGCCCCUUAGUGCUGCAGCUAACGCAUUAAGCACUCCGCCUGGGGAGUACGGCCGCAAAGGCUG
rnacentral:rRNA from 1 species